GAGAGCGCGCGCGGCCGACCCUGCCGGGAGCUCGGAAAAAAAGAAAGGAGGCCGGGCCCCGGGGAGCCGGCGGCUGGCCGGGGACUCGCGUUCGCCUUCCGUCGGUGACUCGCGGGGCUCGGGAAACCUGACGGUAGAGAAUAAACUGAAAGCUGACCCUGUAGCCAACUGCCCGGCGCAGACUCACGCUUGGAACUAGGACCCUAGCUAGGUACAGCUUCAAGGAUUCGCAAAAGAUUUCAGGGGGUAUACCGCAAUAGGCCCAAACUGGAACGAAAGUGCAAAAUGUUCCAACUUUAGGAUGCAAAGGUAUUUAGAGCAGCGUGCUCCUAGAAAGAACCAGGAGUCACGUUGGUGGGAAGAAAACAAAAUCGUGCGUCUCCUUCGAGCCGGAAUCGAACCAGCGACCUAAGGAUUUCUUUUGUUGGAAAGCCAACUACAGUCCUCCGCUCUACCAGCUGAGCUAUCGAAGGGACAAGAUAACUCGGCGCCUCUUGAGGUUCAACACAUAGGAAACGGAAUGUGUAAAACCACUGGCUAGUGGUCAAAUCAAAUAUGUGUAACCACGAAGAUAGAGGAAAGAAAGUGUGUUAUAGAGGAAACUUAUCUGAGAAGAGAUGAAUCUGGACAACAUCUCAGGAGUGAAGAUACUUGGGUACCAGACCAAAUUAUUCAGAAGUAAACAGUAAAAAACCCUCACUAGGUUGGAGGACAGUUGCCCUGGAAAUGGACGUUUACCUUCAUAUCAAUGAGGAAGAGAGAGCAGUCUGCUGAAAAUUUUAACAAGACAGCUCUGUAAUUGGGUCAGGGGCUUGACUGGCUCCAAGUUAACACAUUUAUUUUUGUAUUAAUUUAUGUUUGCAUAUACAAGCAUUUAAUAUGCUAAGCCACCCUAAAAACUAAGGAUUCUAGCAGCGUUUAUGUUUCUAGCUGGUAACAAUUUCCCUAUUUUACAACACAGAUUUUAAACAUUUAGUCUUUUAACAAAUAUUCCCUGACUGCCAUGUGUCAGGUGCUGUUUUAAGUCCUGGGGACUCAGCAUUCACAAAGAUGGACAAAAACUUUGCUCUUGUGGUGUGGCAGACAGAGAAUAAGAUAAAAAGUAUGUUAAUGAAAGGUACUAAGGAGAAAAAGUAGAAGAGAAUAGGGAGCGUGAGGUGGGGAAUGGCAUAGGUCUAGGCAGAGUGGUCUGGGAAAGCCCGCAGCAAAAUGAUGUGAGGAAAGACUGGGGAAAGUCCCUUCAUGCUCUAAAUAUGUUAUAUGUUGUAAAUUAAUCUCACUGUGACUUGGAGCUGCAGUUUGACAAUUUGAAAGAAAUUUCACCUCAGUCAGGUUUUGAGAGUCUCUCCCCUACCUAGGAUGUAAGGGGUCUGCAGGGUUUCAUGUCUUUGUCCUCCAAGUGAGUUUUGAGCCCCUAGUCUUGCUCCAGCCUUGUUGCUCCUGAGGUCUCUAUGUCCAGUCCUGCAUGGUUCCUUUCAGGGCCCAGAUGUGGACACAUGAAUCUUUAGUUAUGGCUACAAAGCCAUGACUUCCUUUUGUCCCCCAGGCAUCCAAGUGCUCUCUCAUCAUAGGGGCUCUCCCCUGUGGGGACACAAGUCUGGGCUCCCUAAAAACUAAGGAUUCCAGCAGUGUUUAUGUUUCUAACUGGUAACAAUUUCCCUAUUUUACAACACAGAUUUUAAACAUUUAGUCUUUUAACAAAUAUUCCCUGACUGCCAUGUGUCAGGCGCUGUUUUAAGUCUGAUAUAGGUCCUUGUCCCUUACCAAAUACUUCUUUUUUUCACUCCAUCCUGAGUCUCAACUUUUCACCUUCGUCCCUUGUCUUCCCCGUUUCUCAGUACUCCGUCUCCUUCCUUGUCCUUCUCCUGUGUCUACUCCUGUGUAUAAUACUCUGGAAACUCCCCUCAAACCUCCCAAACCCAUCUUUCAUCCAGAAGCCCAUCAGAAUGGGGCUACUUCUCUUCCUUGGAUUUCAGCACACACCUUCUGACGGUCCAAGCCACUAAACAAAUGCCUGAGUGGUCGUUUUCCAGGUGUCUCUCUACCUUUGUUUUUAACCUCUAAGUGUGUGGUAGCAAGGAAGUA